UAGACGUGGUCCAGGUUUCUGCACAGGAAUAUCGAGAGCGUCAUGAACCCGAGCUAUAGAGAAAGGAGAUGAGGUCAGAGAAGUCGAAGGGGUGCUGGCGAGACGGGGGUGAUGCCCACCCGGGCGAGAAAGCUUCCCAAAGUUCUGGGAUUACAGGCGUGAGCCACCGCACCCGGCUGACAAGUGUCCUUCUAAGAAACACACAGAGGAGAAGACACAGAAGAGGAGAGCACCAUGUGAUGGUAGACACAGAAAUUGGAGUUCUACAGCCACAAGCCAAGGAACUCCUGGAGCCACCAGGAGAUGGAAGAUGCAAAGAACUGAUUUUCUCUCAGAGCCUCUGGAGGGAGUGUGGCCCUGGUGACACCUUGAUUUUGGACUUCUGGCCUACAGAACCAUGCACACAGGAGGACUUCAUUUCCCAGGUCUCCUUGCAGUGAAGUUGAGGCCAUGUGACUGGUCUUGGGCCAAUGGAAUGGGUGCAGAAGGGACACAGCCCAUUUCUAGACUCAGCCUGAAAUGUCCUCCAUAAUCCUUACUCUUUCUCCCUUCACUCACUGGCUGCAGGAAGCUGAGAAUUAUCCUUGGACUUACAUAAAGCAUUUUGGACUUUAUGUAAGUAACAACCUGUUGUAUUAAGCUACUAAGAUUUUACGGUUGUUUGUUAAAUCAGCUAACCUUAAACAUCCUAACAACUACAAAUAGAA
ensembl:lncRNA novel transcript